CGCUGGCGUUAGGCAGGCCGCAGCAUUGGAGAUGCUUGCGGACAACACCAGGUGGCAGGGCGAGGCAAAGCAGCAGCUCGCUGAUGAGGCGAGGCGUCAUCAAGUAGCUGCCGUGCACCAGGCUGGUAAUCUAGCUGACGUGCAAGAGCUGCAGGGGUGUCGGUGCCCUCAUCGAGGCCCCGUUGCGACUUUCCAGCAGCAGCCACCAGUGGCAUAAGGACCUGUGCGCCAAGUGUGGCAGCUUUGGAAGGGCCGAAGAAGGCAGGCUCAUCGCAUGGCCCAAUGUGGGCGGUGCUACAAUCCUUACUGUGUCAACGUCAAGGUGACAAAGAUUAUCUUGAAGAAGGGAUGGUGCUACCUGGAUCACACAGCAUGUGAAGGCUGUGGCCAGCUGCAUGACAAGAGCCAGCUUCUGCUUUACGACGAGUGCAACAUCAGCUACCACACGUACUGUCGCUUUCCACCCCUCGAAAGAGUACCUGGGUAACUGGAAGUGCUGUUGGCGCUGGGAUCAAAGAAAAGCAGUCGCUUCACUUUGUGAA